GACGAACGCUGGCGGCGUGCCUAAUACAUGCAAGUUGAGCGCUGAAGGUUGGUACUUGUACCAACUGGAUGAGCAGCGAACGGGUGAGUAACGCGUGGGGAAUCUGCCUUUGAGCGGGGGACAACAUUUGGAAACGAAUGCUAAUACCGCAUAAAAACUUUAAACACAAGUUUUAAGUUUGAAAGAUGCAAUUGCAUCACUCAAAGAUGAUCCCGCGUUGUAUUAGCUAGUUGGUGAGGUAAAGGCUCACCAAGGCGAUGAUACAUAGCCGACCUGAGAGGGUGAUCGGCCCCAUUGGGACUGAGACACGGCCCAAGCUCCUACGGGAGGCAGCAGUAGGGAAUCUUCGGCAAUGGACGAAAGUCUGACCGAGCAACGCCGCGUGAGUGAAGAAGGUUUUCGGAUCGUAAAACUCUGUUGGUAGAGAAGAACGUUGGUGAGAGUGGAAAGCUCAUCAAGUGACGGUAACUACACAGAAAGGGACGGCUAACUACGUG
rnacentral:rRNA from 1 species